rnacentral:rRNA from 1 species
GACGAACGCUGGCGGCGUGCCUAAUACAUGCAAGUCGAGCGGACGAAUCGAAAGCUUGCUUUUGAUUCGUUAGCGGCGGACGGGUGAGUAACACGUGGGCAACCUGCCCUGUAGACGGGGAUAACACCGAGAAAACGGUGCUAAUACCGGAUAACACGAAAUGUCGCAUGACGUUUCGUUGAAAGACGGCGCAAGCUGCCGCUACAGGAUGGGCCCGCGGCGCAUUAGCUAGUUGGUGAGGUAACGGCUCACCAAGGCGACGAUACGUAGCCGACCUGAGAGGGUGAUCGGCCACACUGGGACUGAGACACGGCCCAGACUCCUACGGGAGGCAGCAGUAGGGAAUCUUCCGCAAUGGACGAAAGUCUGACGGAGCAACGCCGCGUGAGCGAAGAAGGCCUUCGGGUCGUAAAGCUCUGUUGUUAGGGAAGAACAAGUAACGCAGUAACUGGCGUUACCGUGACGGUACCUAACGAGAAAGCCACGGCUAACUACGUG